rnacentral:tRNA from 3 species
GGAAGGGUGGCCGAGUGGUUUAAGGCGCUGCACUGAAAAUGCAGUAAUCGGGUUUCCGAUUCAGGGGUUCGAAUCCCCUUCCUUGGA